GUAGGGAAUAUUGGGCAAUGGUCGGAAGACUGACCCAGCCAUGCCGCGUGCAGGAAGACGGCCCUCUGGGUUGUAAACUGCUUUUAUCUGGGAAGAAAAAGGCCAUGCGUGGCAAAUUGCCGGUACCAGAUGAAUAAGCACCGGCUAACUCCGUGCCAGCAGCCGCGGUAAUACGGAGGGUGCGAGCGUUGUCCGGAUUUAUUGGGUUUAAAGGGUGCGUAGGCGGCUGAUUAAGUCAGCGGUGAAAGACUUCGGCUUAACCGGAGCAGUGCCGUUGAUACUGGUUGGCUUGAGUGUCGGAGAGGUACAUGGAAUUGAUGGUGUAGCAGUGAAAUGCAUAGAUACCAUCAGGAACACCGAUAGCGAAGGCAUUGUACUGGCCGACAACUGACGCUGAUGCACGAAAGUGUGGGGAUCGAACAGGAUUAGAAACCCUGGUAGUCC
rnacentral:rRNA from 1 species